CCUACGGGUGGCAGCAGUGAGGAAUAUUGGUCAAUGGACGAGAGUCUGAACCAGCCAAGUAGCGUGAAGGAUGACUGCCCUAUGGGUUGUAAACUUCUUUUAUAUGGGAAUAAAAUGUUCCACGUGUGGGAUUUUGUAUGUACCAUAUGAAUAAGGAUCGGCUAACUCCGUGCCAGCAGCCGCGGUAAUACGGAGGAUCCGAGCGUUAUCCGGAUUUAUUGGGUUUAAAGGGAGCGUAGGUGGAUUGUUAAGUCAGUUGUGAAAGUUUGCGGCUCAACCGUAAAAUUGCAGUUGAAACUGGCAGUCUUGAGUACAGUAGAGGUGGGCGGAAUUCGUGGUGUAGCGGUGAAAUGCAUAGAUAUCACGCAGAACUCCGAUUGCGAAGGCAGCUUACUAAGCCAUAACUGACACUGAAGCACGAAAGCGUGGGGAUCAAACAGGAUUAGAUACCCCAGUAGUC
rnacentral:rRNA from 1 species